GGCGCUGCCGUGGGCAUCUACUUCCUCUGGCCUGCUGGGGCGGUGGCCGCCGGCGCCACGAUGAAGGCGCCAGGCGCGACCGGCUUCUUCAUCUCCCGCGCGGCAUUCGUGGCGAAUCCGCAGCUGUAUUUUCAGAUACUGCGCACUGCCGGCGCCGCGGCGGCGGCCGCCGCCUUCGCUCUGUAA
rnacentral:rRNA from 1 species